CUCAUCCCAUUCUCAUACACUGUAGCUCCUCAGCAGAUGACGCUGCAUUUCCCCAGGCUCAAGGGGCAGCUUUUGGUGUGCCGAAAACAGCUAAUUUGGCAAGGACACCCAGCAGGUGGAACUGGUGGGUUCAGCUCCAGGCUGUGGGGAUGCACAGUCUCCUGCUCUCAAUUACUCCCAUUUGCAGCUGCACACAGUAGAAACGUGGAAAUGAUCAGCUGUAUGCAAAAAUGGACCACGAUGCAAAUACACACAGAAGAGUUUAACACAGACAUCUCAUUUUAAAUGAUGCCUGCUUGGCAAUAUGGCCAUCUUUGAAUAAAGGCAAGGAGGGGAUCCUGACUGGAAGCAGUCCUCAAAUGCCCAGCACCA